AGAGUUCUGAUUAUGUUGCAGCCUGGGGUUGGUCUCUUGGCUACAGUGUCCUGUUUGUUCUGGUCAGUUCCAGCACCGUUGUGUUCCUUUGUCCAAGUGCUGGAGGCUCAGGAAUUCCAGAAGUAACAGGCUUUCUUAAUGGAACCCAUAUUCCGAAGAUGUUCAGCUUGAAAACAAUGAUUGUCAAGUUCAUCUCCUGUGUUUGUGCUGUUGGCUGUAACAUGCCAGUUGGUCCCGAGGGACCCAUGAUUCAUUUAGGGGCUCUGGUAGGGGCCACUCUCAGCCAAUACAACAUCAGGAUUUGUAGCCAGUUUCACAACCCUGAAGAUAAGUAUGGGUCUCUUUGUAGUUCUUUAUCAUGAACACACACACACACAUUCCUUACUCACACACACUCUCCUUAUUCUGACACAUACAUACACAUGCACACACACACGCACACUCCUUAUUCACACACACACUCCUUAUUCAUACACAUGCACACAUGCGCAUACAUUCCUUAUUUAUACGCAUACUCACACACACACACACUCACACAUACCACUCCUUAUUCACACACGCCCACCCACACCCCUUAUUCAUGCACACACACACAUGCACACUCCUUAUUCACACACAUGUGCACACACACCCACAGACACACACACACACAUUCUGUAAAUAAUUCUGUAAAUAAUAAUAAUAUUAUUAUAUUAAAUAAUAAUAAUAAUAAUGACAGCAAGAGCACAAACCUUCGCCAAGGCAACACCA